UCUGCCCGCUGGCGGCGUGCUUAACACAUGCAAGUCGAACGAGAAAUGGAGACGGAAACCUUCGGGCGGAAGGCUUCAUUUCGAGUGGCGGACGGGUGAGUAACGCGUGGGUAACCUGCCUCAUACAGGGGGAUAACAGUUGGAAACGACUGUUAAUACCGCAUAAGACCACAGCACCGCAUGGUGCGGGGGUAAAAACUCCGGUGGUAUGAGAUGGACCCGCGUUCGAUUAGCCAGUUGGCGGGGUAACGGCCCACCAAAGCGACGAUCGAUAGCCGAUCUGAGAGGAUGACCGGCCACAUUGGGACUGAGACACGGCCCAAACUCCUACGGGAGGCAGCAGUGGGGAAUAUUGCACAAUGGGGGAAACCCUGAUGCAGCGACGCCGCGUGAGUGAAGAAGUACUUCGGUAUGUAAAGCUCUAUCAGCAGGGAAGAAAAUGACGGUACCUGAGUAAGAAGCCCCGGCUAACUACGUG
rnacentral:rRNA from 1 species